GACGAACGCUGGCGGCGUGCUUAACACAUGCAAGUCGAACGGAAAGGCCCUGCUUUUGUGGGUUGCUCGAGUGGCGAACGCGUGAGUAACACGUGAGUAACCUGCCCUUGACUUUGUGAUAACUUCAGGAAACUGGGGCUAUUACCGGAUAGGAGCUCCUGCUGCAUGUUGGUGGUUGGAAAGUUUCGGCUGUUGGGGAUCGACUCGCGGCUUCUCAGCUUGUUUGUGGGGUAGUGGCUUACCAAGGCUUUGACGGGUAGCCGGCCUGAGAGGGGGACCGGGCACAUGGGGACUGAGAUAGGGAGCAGAAGGCUACGUGAGGCAGCAGGGGGGAAUAUGGCGCAGUGAGCGGAAGACAGAGGCAGAAACGCCGCGUGCGGGAUGACGGCCUUCGGGUUGAAAACAGAUUUCGAAUGUGACGAAGCGUGAGUGACGGUAAUGGGUAAGGAAGCAACGGCUAACUACGUG
rnacentral:rRNA from 1 species